rnacentral:rRNA from 1 species
GAACGAGCUGUGAGAUCUUCGGAUGGAUACACUUAGUGGCGGACGGGUGAGUAACGCGUGGGUACCUGCCUCACACUGGGGGAUAACAGUUAGAAAUAGCUGCUAAUACCGCAUAAGUCCGCAUGGAAAAAACUCCGGUGGUGUGAGAUGGACCCGCGUCUGAUUAGCCAGUUGGCGGGGUAACGGCCCACCAAAGCGACGAUCAGUAGCCGGCCUGAGAGGGUGAACGGCCACAUUGGGACUGAGACACGGCCCAAACUCCUACGGGAGGCAGCAGUGGGGAAUAUUGCACAAUGGGGGAAACCCUGAUGCAGCGACGCCGCGUGAGUGAAGAAGUAUUUCGGUAUGUAAAGCUCUAUCAGCAGGGAAGAAGUGACGGUACCUGAAUAAGAAGCCCCGGCUAACUACGUGCCAGCAGCCGCGGUAAUACGUAGGGGGCAAGCGUUAUCCGGAUUUACUGGGUGUAAAGGGAGCGUAGACGGCAAGGCAAGUCUGAAGUGAAAGCCCGGUGCUUAACGCCGGGACUGCUUUGGAAACUGUUUGGCUGGAGUGCCGGAGAGGUAAGCGGAAUUCCUAGUGUAGCGGUGAAAUGCGUAGAUAUUAGGAAGAACACCAGUGGCGAAGGCGGCUUACUGGAC